GAGAAAGGGAAGUAAGUUUUUAACCAGAGAUGUCAGUGGAAAGUAUGGAAGAGAAGACUGUAAGGUAACAUAUUACCUGAAAGCAGCUUAAGUGGAGAAUAUAGCAAGCAAAAAGCCAGAUGCAGUACAAGGGCAAGGAGCAAAGAGAGGGAUCAGGAUUUUGCUGGCUCUAAGUUUGGAGCAGUGACAUGGACUGAGCCCACACAGAGCUCUGAACACUACACAGGAAGAAUAACUGUCCAUUUCGAUCUCUUGGUAGCAUUUGUUUCUGUGAGUAGUAAUUUUGUUUUGUAUUCAAGAAUAGGAAGUAUAUUUAAAAUGGGUACUUUAUUGUCUUGCUGCUUGGAGUAAAUUUUAAAUCAAUAAUGAUGCUCCUGAAAGUAAAGGGUUAUAAUAGAAAGAAGUGAACUAAGCAGACAAUCAGGUUGUAACAGGUCAGGUCAAAAGUCCUUUUAGUACUGUAGCAAGUCUUGGAUUCUUCAAUGGGAAGUCCAAGAAACAGGGUAAGUAAUAGAUUUCUUCCAUAGUAUAAUCUGCUCACUUUUGGCAAUCAGGGUAGGAUUUCUGGACUAUGCAGUACAUUACUGUAUUUAAGAGCAUAAGAUUUAUUAUCUUUCUGUAAUUUGUGCAGUGGCUUUUUGGAAACUAUUUUUGACAGCUAUAAAAAACUAUAGUAAUACAUUUUGACUACAUAUUGUCUGAAGCAGGCUUGCUUAAUAUUUGUGUAAUCAAAGAGCUCCAAAGUCUUCUGUUAUGGAGCAGAAUGAAUGUUUCUUCUAUAUUUAACUUUUUUGAUGAUGCUGAUGGUAUUAAAGGCUUAUUUACUUUCCCCCCUCACAGCUGCCACUUAUCCAGGCUUUAGAGGUUCAAUCUACUGUCUCAUCAAACAAAAACUACAUUGUAUCUGCAGCCAUUCUGUACCUCCUUAGCUUUUUGUUGUUGCGCUGGACGAACUGUUCCAGAUGCAUGCAUAAUAUGCUUUUAUAUAGUAAAAAAAUGGUUCUUGAUUUUUCUUCCUAUUUCUUUUAGAAUAUGAAGACUGCUUUGAGAGCAGUGCCUCCUAUUUUAUUAUACUGGUACACAACACCAGAGGUGAAUGUUGGUGGUGUGGCAGUAGAGGCUGAACCUUCCCACCAACAUUGUCACAUUCUCUUGCUGCGCCACAGUUGACAGCAGAGGGGCAGUGUGAUGAAAUGGCACCUGACAUGGAAGUGUGUAUGAAAGAAAGGAGUGGAAAUGAAUUCCCCCAUGCAGAAAAAAAAUGGCAACCACUGAUAUUUAUUGACGCUUGCUGAAUGCUUAUGGAGAACAAACAGUGAAUGAGAGCAUAGAGAGGUGCAUUUCAGCAGUGGUGAUGGUAACAGAUGGCUCACUUUUACUGGUGUAGAUUUUCACAAGCAUAGUAUGCAGGCUCUUGUUCAUGGCUGGUAAAAAUACAUUUCAAAUGCUGUUGACUUCUGAAAAACAAAGUUUUGUAAAUAGUUUUUUUUUUUUUCUAUCAGUGUUAUUGUGCUCUUUGAAGCUGUUAUAGUUUCAAUAGAAAUAAAUAAUUGGCAUUACUUUUGGAGCAAACUCCAUAUUUUAUAACAUGCAAUUUGAUUUAUUUUUUUUAACCCAAGCAAGAACCUAUCAUUUGCCAAGAACAGCAUUUGGUGAUCUGAUGACUUACUUUCUGAGUAAUAAUCACUUUACACGUGUAUACAUAGAAAGAUUUCCACAUUUUAAAAUAUUGUUAUGUUUUCAAUAAGGGAUUUUGUUGUCAUUUUUAAUCAUCACUAAUCGACUAUUGUGAGAUUUUUCGUUUUUUUGGUUUUUUUUUUUUUUCAAUUGCAUAUAAUUUUUACAAUCUUCAAUAAAAAUAUCCUCAGAAUUUUUUUUCCAUAUUGUCUAUUUGAUUUUUCAUAUUAUUUAGGAAUACAUUCAAACACAGAACAUGUACUAUCCUGAUUAUAAAAUAACUUUGCUUUGAUAUCUGCCCUAUUACAUGUCAUAAAUACAGAGAAAUACUGUGAAAAAAAUGAUAACAUUAACAAAAAUCUAAGUCAACAUAAGUAGCGUUUUUAAAGGUGGAAAAUGUUUAGAGAUAGCAAAAGAAAAAACAAAGAAGUUAAAAUUAAGGAUACUUCCUUUUUCUAUUUUUUAAAUAUUUUAUUUAAAUUAUGGGUAUUGUAUUUUUGUUAAACAUACAUAUAGAUUAACAGAAGCUGGACCAACUUUACUGACUUUUAAUAAGGAAAUUAUGACAGUCUGGUUCUGAGCCUUGUGUAUAUUUGAGCAACUCAGUUUUCAUUUCAGAGCUGUGCAAAUAUUGAUGAUGCAGGUGCUAUUUCAUCAAUAUAUAGUCUUCUGGGAGACAAGUCUUGUGGAUAUCUGCAAAUGCUUGUCACUGUGCCACCUGAAAACUUCAUACACUUUUGUUAUUCAUUAUGUACACUGUAGAAAGCAGGAAUGUGACUCAUAGCACAUAAAUGCAUUUAAGAAUUUUUAACCCUUAUCUAUGUUUCUGUAUUUUUCUAUUAAUAAUUUUGUUUAUUGUAUAUCUUAGGAACUUAUAAUAGUUUUCUGACUUGGGAAAGUCUUUCUCUCUUUCUUCUGGAAAGAGUCCAGUGGAGGGCCAUGAAGAUGAUGGAGGGCCUGGAGCACCUCUUUUAUGAGGAAAGGCUGAGCAACCUAGGUCUGUUCAGUCUUCAGAAAAGAAGACUGAGAGGGGAUCUGAUCAAUGUCUAUAAAUAUCAAAGGUGUGGGAGGCAAAGGGAUGAGGGCAGACUCUUUUCAGCAGUGUGGCAACAGGAAAAGGGGAAAUGGCCACAAACUAAAGCAUAGGAAGUUCCGCACAAAUGUGCAUAAGAACUUCUUCAUGGUAAGGGUGAUGGAGCUCUGGAACAGGCUGCCCAGGAGGGUUGUGGAGUCUCCUUCUCUGGAGACGUUCAAGACCUACCUGGGUGCCUAUCUGCGCAGCCUGGCCUAGGAAGCCUGCUUUGGCAGGGGGGUUGGACUAGAUGAUCUCUAGAGGUCCCUUCCAGCACCUACAAUUCUGUGAUUCUCUGACAGGGGCUUUACUUAUAGUAACUUAUAUACUGUUAAUUCUACUACAAAUACUUCAAAUGCAGUAGAUAAUGCAUUUGCUGAAUUCUAGCACUAUUUUAUGAUGCUUCCUU
rnacentral:lncRNA from 1 species